rfam:Pelodiscus sinensis unplaced genomic scaffold scaffold7500, whole genome shotgun sequence.
GGCACCAUGGCUUAGUUGGCUGAAGCAGCUGCUUUGUAAGCAGAAGAUCCUGGGUUCAACUCCCAGUGGUGCCU